GUAGCAAUACAUUUGCAAAGCAAGUGGCGAACGGGUGAGUAACAAGUGGACAAUCUGCCCUUAAGAUCGGGAUAAUUAUUCGAAAGGAUAGCUAAUACCGAAUGUUUUAUAUCUAUCGAUGAUUGAUAUAACAAAGGAAGCCGCAAGGCCUCCGCUUUUGGAUGAGUCCGCUGCCUAUUAGCUUGUUGGUAAGGUAAUGGCUUACCAAGGCUAUGAUGGGUAGCCGGCCCGAGAGGGUGUCCGGCCACACUGGGACUGAGAUACGGCCCAGACUCCUACGGGAGGCAGCAGUAGGGAAUAUUGCGCAAUGGGCGAAAGCCUGACGCAGCGACACCGUGUGUAGGAUGAAGGUCUUAGGAUUGUAAACUACUGUCAGUUGAAGAAGAAGGUAUGAAAGUUAAGAGCUUGAUUAUUGACGGUAUUCAACGAGGAAGUCUCGGCUAACUCCGUGCCAGCAGCCGCGGUAAGACGGGGGAGGCAAGCAUUGUCCGGAAUUAUUGGGCGUAAAGAACACGUAGGCGGUUUUUCAAGUCAAUUGUGAAAACCUUGGGCUCAACCCGAGGACUGCAGUUGAUACUGGAUAACUAGAGUACAGUAGAGGAAAGUGGAAUUCCUGGUGUAGCGGUGAAAUGCGCAGAUAUCAGGAAGAACACCAGUGGCGAAAGCGGCUUUCUGGACUGUUACUGACGCUGAGGUGUGAAAGCUAGGGGAGCGAACAGGAUUAGAUACCCUGGUAGUCCUAGCCGUAAACGAUGGACACUAGGUGUGGGGAGUUAUCGACGCUCUCUGUGCCGAAGCUAACGCAUUAAGUGUCCCGCCUGGGGAGUACGGUCGCAAGACUAAAAC
rnacentral:rRNA from 1 species